GACCCAUGAAUUAAUUCAUCUCUCCAGUUACUGAAGCUCAGCUAAGAUCUCAGAGAUGAGCAAGGGCUCACCAGGUCCCAAGCCAUCCCAGCCCCAGGUCACCCUGGUGACAAGACGCUCAGGCCCAUGGAACUCCCAGCUGGUGGAGGACGGUCUCAGAAACAUGCAAUCACAGAGGAGCAUAAGAUGGAGAGCAGACAGCCACCUGAGCGUCUUCCAGCCAUCCCCACCAGGUGGGCAGGCCCACACGAUGUGAGAUGUGACCCACUUCAGCGAUCCUGAGAAAGGCGAGGGAGGCAGGGCCGCCCCACGUGGUGUGCCACCCCGUGAGGAACGAACCGAGGAACUAGUUCUCCACCCUCCCCAGGCUCUGACCUGCCUGCUGGCUGCCGUCCAUCCCCCACGCUGGCCCUCACAGUCCCUCUGCUGCCAGGCACCACACAGGACUUUCAGAAUAGGUUGGGUUCAGAUCUGGUGCCCUGAGUGCCCUUGGCCAACCACUCCACUGUGAUACGGAAAUGAUCAUGUUCUGCUCAUGGGGUGAGUGUGAGGCCUGGCAGGAGGCAGCAAAAGCACAUGGAAGCCCUCCUGUCGCCCUUACUGCUGCCUCGGGCCCACACCCAGCCCUCUGCCACCUGUCCUACCACCCACCCCCAGCCACCCUUGGUAAUAGGAGGGGCCACCAA